rnacentral:tRNA from 1 species
GCCUUCGUAGUGCAGUCGUCAGCACACUCGGCGCGUAUUCGAGAGAUCCGAGGUUCGAGUCCCGGCGGGGGCA